CAGAUGUGAACAUCCAGUACUUGUGAAUGGAAGGCUGGUAUCAGGAGUCAGAGAAACCUAUUCCUACCAAGCAGUGGUUCUAUUUGAAUGCCUCCCAGGUUUCUAUCUUAAUGGCAGCAACCCAGUGUUCUGUGGUGGGAGAAAUACUUGGGAACCUGAGAUGCCGACAUGUAUUAAAGGUUUCAAGCCUACUCAUCCAACCAAACCUCCAGUUUCAAAGUAUCCAGGCUAUCCUGAGCCCAAUGAAUCAGCAUUAUUUGAAGAACUGGAGGAAUUAGAUGCAGGUAUAAUUGCUGUGAUUAUUCUUACUCUCCGUAAGUAGCCCAAACUUCA